GACAGAGGGUGCAAACGUUGUUCGGAUUUACUGGGCGUAAAGCGCGUGUAGGCGGCUUUGCAAGUCGGAUGUGAAAGCCCACGGCUCAACCGUGGAAGUGCAUCCGAAACUGCAUGGCUGGAGUCUCGGAGAGGAAGGUGGAAUGCUUGGUGUAGAGGUGAAAUUCGUAGAUAUCAAGCAGAACACCUGCGGCGAAGGCGGCCUUCUGGACGAUGACUGACGCUGAGGAGCGAAAGCGUGGGGAGCAAACGGG
rnacentral:rRNA from 1 species